AACACCGACAAGUUGAACGCAUAUUGCACCUCGUACCCCUCGUACGAGGUACACAUUUUUGAGUGCCUAUAUUUAUCCAUUCAACUAUACGUUGGCCCAGCGGGCGUGCGCGUUUCACUCCGGGUGGACGGGCGCACGCCACACAGAAACGUAUGCGUAGUGACGCUUUCCCGCCGCCUUCCCGUGGCGGUAAAGCGUUGAAGAUAGUCAGGGCGCGCCGCCGGCGCGGGCUGAUGAGUACACCCCAGCGGAGCACCAUACACUCCACCGCCUGUGUGCUCCAUCAACAGCCACUCCAUUCGCCUUCCUGCGAAUGACCGACCCAACAACCACCUCAGGUAGUAGUAGUAGGCCUCAAAUAAUGUGUGAC
rnacentral:rRNA from 1 species